rnacentral:rRNA from 1 species
UACAGAGGUCUCAAGCGUUUGUUCGGAUUCAUUGGGCGUAAAGGGUGUGUAGGUGGCGCCGUAAGUCGGGUGUGAAAUUUCGGAGCUUAACUCCGAAACUGCAUUCGAUACUGCGGUGCUUUGAGGACUGGAGAGGAGACUGGAAUUCAUGGUGUAGCAGUGAAAUGCGUAGAGAUCAUGAGGGAAGACCAGUGGGCGAAAGGCGGG